UACGUAGGCAGCAAGCGUUGUUCGGAGUUACUGGGCGUAAAGGGUGUGUAGGCGGUUGUUUAAGUUUGGUGUGAAAUCUCCCGGCUCAACCGGGAGGGUGCGCUGAAUACUGAAUGACUAGAGUGCGGGAGAGGAAAGUGGAAUUCCUGGUGUAGCGGUGAAAUGCGUAGAUAUCAGGAGGAACACCGGUGGUGUAGACGGCUUCUGGACCGUAACUGACGCUGAGACACGAAAGCGUGGGUAGCAAACAGG
rnacentral:rRNA from 1 species